rnacentral:rRNA from 1 species
GGAGGCAGCAGUGGGGAAUUUUCCGCAAUGGGCGAAAGCCUGACGGAGCAAUACCGCGUGAGGGAGGAAGGCUCUUGGGUCGUAAACCUCUUUUCUCAGGGAAGAACACAAUGACGGUACCUGAGGAAUAAGCAUCGGCUAACUCCGUGCCAGCAGCCGCGGUAAUACGGAGGAUGCAAGCGUUAUCCGGAAUGAUUGGGCGUAAAGCGUCCGCAGGUGGCAAUGUAAGUCUGCUGUUAAAGAGUGAGGCUCAACCUCAUAAGAGCAGUGGAAACUACAUAGCUAGAGUACGUUCGGGGCAGAGGGAAUUCCUGGUGUAGCGGUGAAAUGCGUAGAGAUCAGGAAGAACACCGGUGGCGAAGGCGCUCUGCUAGGCCGUAACUGACACUGAGGGACGAAAGCUAGGGGAGCGAAUGGGAUUAGAUACCCCAGUAGUCCUAGCCGUAAACGAUGGAUACUAGGCGUGGCUUGUAUCGACC